AUUGAACGCUGGCGGCAUGCCUUACACAUGCAAGUCGAACGGCAGCACGGGUGCUUGCACCUGGUGGCGAGUGGCGAACGGGUGAGUAAUACAUCGGAACGUACCUUAUCGUGGGGGAUAACGCAGCGAAAGCUGUGCUAAUACCGCAUACGCCCUGAGGGGGAAAGCGGGGGAUCGAAAGACCUCGCGCGAUUAGAGCGGCCGAUGCCUGAUUAGCUUGUUGGUGGGGUAAAAGCCCACCAAGGCGACGAUCAGUAGCUGGUCUGAGAGGACGAUCAGCCACACUGGGGCUGAGACACGGCCCAGACUCCUACGGGAGGCAGCAGGGGGGAAUUUUGGACCAUGGGGGCAACCCUGAUCCAGCAAUGCCGCGUGAGUGAAGAAGGCCUUCGGGUUGUAAAGCUCUUUUGUCAGGGAAGAAACAGCAGCUCUAACACAGUCUGCGAAUGACGGUACCUGAAGAAUAAGCACCGGCUAACUACGUGCCAGCCGCCGCAGUAA
rnacentral:rRNA from 1 species